GACGAACGCUGGCGGCGUGCUUAACACAUGCAAGUCGAACGAUGAAGCUAGAGCUUGCUCUGGUGAAUUAGUGGCGAACGGGUGAGUAACACGUGAGUAACCUGCCCCGAACUCUGGGAUAACUGCUGGAAACGGUAGCUAAUACUGGAUACGACCUACGAAGGCAUCUUCUGUAGGUGGAAAGAAUUUCGGUUCGGGAUGGACUCGCGGCCUAUCAGCUUGUUGGUGAGGUAAUGGCUCACCAAGGCGACGACGGGUAGCCGGCCUGAGAGGGUGACCGGCCACACUGGGACUGCGACACGGCCCAGACUCCUACGGGAGGCAGCAGUGGGGAAUAUUGCACAGUGGGCGCAAGCCUGAUGCAGCAACGCCGCGUGAGGAAUGACGGCCUUCGGGUUGUAAACCUCUUUUAGUAGGGAAGAAGCGAAAGUGACGGUACCUGCAGAAAAAGCACCGGCUAACUACUUGCCAGCAGCCGCCGUAA
rnacentral:rRNA from 1 species